CUGCAUGGGUUCGCUCAUCCUGGUAAGAAGGGUGAUCCUGCACAACUGGAGUAGCUGCACUUUCAGGAUUGUAUUUUUAGGACCGCAUCUUUAGGACCCUAGUUUUUUGUGACAUCGCCACCUGCCAGAUUGGAUCAUACACGCUCUAAUGAGAUGGACGACAUGGAUGGCAAGAAUAAUGCCAUCAUAUAUGCUCUGGGGGUCUUGAGGGGUUUGUCUUCAGAUGAUGCUGAGCAGGUCUACCCUUCUGGCACAAAAUAUCAUUACAGUGAAGUAGAAGAAUUUAAUCAAAAAAUUGACAAACAACUGAGGAAAGAAGGGAGACCAUUCAAUAGGUGGGUAUUGCUCUUAUAUACUUAAAGAUGUGCAGUUAACAGUUAGGUGUCCUUUUUGGUUCUUCCAAGUUUAAACCAGAAAUAUAUAUUACAGUUAAACAUGGUAAAAUAUAUAUUUUUUAUUACUUAUAAUAAAUAUUAAUCUAAAUUUAAUUGCAUAACAAAUGGUUAAACUUUUGAAUUCAUGUACAUGAUUUUCUAGAUUAUAUAUAUAUAUAUAUAUAUAUAUAUAUAUAU
rnacentral:lncRNA from 8 species